rnacentral:misc_RNA from 1 species
UGAAUCCUAUUAUUUUAAUGGCAUAAGUCUUCUACUCAUUCUUAAAUUGUUGGAAACAAGUUUCUCCACAAUAAAUAUAAACAAGAACAGUCCAAGCAAACAGAUUAGUACAGUUAUAAGCAUUUGCCACAAGAAGAAGAAACUUUUGCCAUAAUAAAGAAGACAAAUAUCUCUAAAAACCAAUCACUGCUCUUCAACCCUGAAGAGGAGAUUCACUGCUGUAAGGCAAUUAGCACCAGAACCUUGACUUCCUCAUCAGUCUCCGGGAGCUGAUGUUGACAAUCUAUUAGAUAUGAGGUAGAUCAACAUUGAGCAUCACUUGAAUCUGCUUCAGAGGCACUGAAAACCUCAAAAAUUUAGCUUACUUUUUAAAUCUUCUGUAACCAGUAACCACUUUUCCAAUCUUGUUUAACUAUUCUUCUUCCUCAAAAGCAAUGACUCCAAUCUAGUCCAUUUUAAGUUGGGUUUCCCCCUUUGAUAUCUAAUUUUCCAAGCAGGUGGUUAUAUUCCAUCCACAGCGUAGAUGCUGCAAGACACUGGAUCUCUUAGGAAUGAAAAGGUGCAGAAAAGAUGAGGCUAUCAUAAACUAGAGCUCAGUUACUCUACAACAAGCUUCCCAGAGAAAAUAUGAUUGUAAUACCUGCAAGCACCCAGAAAGCCUCACCAAAUUACUGGUCAUCCUCAAAUCAGCUAGCCUUCCAGCACAGCCCUAGAUGAAACAACACAGGGAAAGCGCUUAAAAUUGGUUUUCAGUUGUGAUCUUUCCAACUUCACUAUGCUUUAGAAGUAUCUGAUUAAUAAAGAAAGUGUAACCACUUACUUCCAUGAGUUGGAAAGAAGUAGAUCAGUUUAGAGUGAGAUUUUUCAUAACCAAAAACUAAAUUACUGACGUUAUAACACAUACCUACACCAGCUAUGUGUUCAAGCAGGGGUCUGAAAUUGUUAAAAUGGGACAUUCAAUCAGGCUUCUUGCUGGCAGUGAUGAAGGGGUUCAAAAUGCAACAGGCUUUCAGAACAAUUACAAGAUAGCAUGGUAGGGAAGCCAUAGCCACUUCUGGACUCUUUCUAUCCAUUUGGAGUUCCAACAUGGUUUUCACAUUAGGUACUUAAUUUCUUAUCACUUUCCUCACUUCCAGAUUCCUUUUCAACUUGGUCCACUUCCCAAGCCAAUGGUAAGCCAUUGAUACUUCUAAUUUAAGGAUUUUUUUCACCUUACUAAUCAUUUUGCAGCAAACAAAAUUGUUUCUGGAAUCAUUACUUCAAUUACCAAUAAUCUUUACAAGAACAAGAUCCUUCUCUGAAAUGAUGGAAACGAAGCGGAUCUCUAAGAAUUAUUUCUCACUUUUCCACUUUUGAGAAGAGCUUCAUUGCUGUAUGGCAAUCAUGGCAGACUCUCAAAUUUUUCAUGACCUUCACAGGAGCUGAUGGUGGCAAACUGAUCAUUCCAAAAGUCACAGCUAGCUUUUCACUGUGAUGAUUGACCAUUGAGAUGUCCUUGACUUCUGCUCCAGAGGGACUGGAAACAAUGUUCUGAUCAACAUAACCUAUUUUCCUUAUCUUGUCUAACAUUUCUUCCAAUGUUAUAUAAAUUAAUUGGCUCAUUGGGUGAGAAACAUCACCCACCACAAAAGAAUGAACCCUGUUUCUUACCUCAAUCCAACUCUGACCAGGUUCCUUCUUAACCCCUCGACCUGUCAUUAGUUCUCUAAUUUUCCUGGCAGGUGAUUCAAUUCCAGCAUCUGUAUAAAUGUUGUAAAGAAGGACAUAAGAUGAAGAUUCCUGAGGGUCAAGCUCAAUUACUUUCUCAGCAACAUGUUUCCCAGUAACGGUGUCCUUAUAAACCCUGCAACUGCUCAAAAGGGCUCGCCACAUCACUGGAUUAUCUUUAAAACCUGAGUUCAAAAUGAAAUUUUCAGCAUCCAUCAGCCUUCCAGAACGGCUAAGGAGGUCAACAACACAGGCACAAUGCUUUACAUUAGUUUUCAUGCCAUAAUCUUUCUUUAUGCUUUCAUAAUAUCUCAGUCCUUCUUCAACAAGCCCACCAUGGCUACAAGCAGUUAAAACUCCAAGGAAUGUAAUAUGGUUUGGGAAAAUUCCACUACUCUUCAUCAACUCAAAGAGGUUCAAGGCAUCUGUUGCAUGUCCAUGUUGUGCAUUGCUACAGAUCAUCACUGACCAGGACACCACAUCAGGAUUCUUUAUCUCUUCAAAUGUUAACCUAGCAGAAUUUAUGUUGCCAGACUUGGCAUACAUGGAAAUUUGUGAGUUUUGAACAAUAGAGAAGACCCCAAUGCCAGUCUUCGUGGCAAAUCCCUGGACCUGCUCCCCAGAUCUUUCUGCAGCCAAAUCUGCACAAGCACCCAAUAUAGUUGAUAUAAUGAACUCAUCUGGUUUCUUUCCAGAUGCCAGUAGUUCAUAAAACAGAGCUAAUGCAGUUUCAAAGUUCCCAUUUUGAGCAUGACCAACAAUCAUGGAAGUCCAUGAGACAAUAUCUAACUUGGGAGUUGAAUUAAAACAUUUCAACUGAUCCUCACUUGAACCCAACAAGGAGUAUAAUUCAAUAAGGGUGCUCCCAAUGAACUCAUCAGAUUGAAUGUUGUUCUUGCAGAUUUGGGCAUGAAUUUGUUUUCCAUACUCAAAUGCUUUAAUUUGGUUACAAAUUUUGACUAUGCUUGAAAAUGUAAAAUUUGAUGGUUUUACUCCCCUCCUUUGCAUCUGAGAGAAAAGGUUAAAUGCAUCAUUCGCACAUUCUUUACUAACAGCCUCAACUUGGAUGAAUCCAGCAAUCAUGGCGUUAUACGUCACAACAUUUUGGUUAGGAAUCAUUCUGAAAAUUUGGAUUGCAUCAUCCAGAAACCCCGUUUUCGCAUACAUAUCAACCAAUGCAGUCCCAAUGACAACAUCCAAAUCCAGUCCAAG